rnacentral:rRNA from 1 species
AGAGUUUGAUCCUGGCUCAGGACGAACGCUGGCGGCGUGCUUAACACAUGCAAGUCGAACGGAAAGCGCUUUUCGGAGUGACUCGAGUGGCGAACGGGUGAGUAACACGUGGGUGAUCUGCCCUGCACUUUGGGAUAAGCCUGGGAAACUGGGUCUAAUACCGGAUAGGACUACGAAUCGCAUGGUUUGUGGUGGAAAGCUUUUGCGGUGUGGGAUGGGCCCGCGGCCUAUCAGCUUGUUGGUGGGGUGAUGGCCUACCAAGGCGACGACGGGUAGCCGGCCUGAGAGGGUGUCCGGCCACACUGGGACUGAGAUACGGCCCAGACUCCUACGGGAGGCAGCAGUGGGGAAUAUUGCACAAUGGGCGCAAGCCUGAUGCAGCGACGCCGCGUGAGGGAUGACGGCCUUCGGGUUGUAAACCUCUUUCAACAGGGACGAAGCGUAAGUGACGGUACCUGUAGAAGAAGCACCGGCCAACUACGUGCCAGCAGCCGCGGUAAUACGUAGGGUGCGAGCGUUGUCCGGAAUUACUGGGCGUAAAGAGCUCGUAGGUGGUUUGUCGCGUUGUUCGUGAAAACUCACAGCUUAACUGUGGGCGUGCGGGCGAUACGGGCAGACUGGAGUACUGCAGGGGAGACUGGAAUUCCUGGUGUAGCGGUGGAAUGCGCAGAUAUCAGGAGGAACACCGGUGGCGAAGGCGGGUCUCUGGGCAGUAACUGACGCUGAGGAGCGAAAGCGUGGGGAGCGAACAGGAUUAGAUACCCUGGUAGUCCACGCCGUAAACGGUGGGUACUAGGUGUGGGUUUCCUUCCUUGGGAUCCGUGCCGUAGCUAACGCAUUAAGUACCCCGCCUGGGGAGUACGGCCGCAAGGCUAAAACUCAAAGGAAUUGACGG